rnacentral:rRNA from 1 species
UCGGGUGACUAACGCGUGAGUGAUCUACCUCUGAGUGGGGGAUAACGUUCCGAAAGGAGCGCUAAUACCGCAUGACGUUCUGGGUUUGAAGACCUGGAAACCAAAGUCGGGGACCGCAAGGCCUGGCGCUUGGAGAGGAGCCCGCGCCUGAUUAGCUAGUUGGUGAGGUAAUGGCUCACCAAGGCGACGAUCAGUAGCCGGCCUGAGAGGGCGGACGGCCACACUGGGACUGAGACACGGCCCAGACUCCUACGGGAGGCAGCAGUGGGGAAUUGUUCGCAAUGGGCGCAAGCCUGACGACGCAACGCCGCGUGGAGGAUGAAGGUCUUCGGAUUGUAAACUCCUGUUGACCGGGAAGAAUGGGUCCCGACCUAACACGUCGGGGCAGUGACGGUACCGGUUGAGGAAGCCACGGCUAACUCUGUGCCAGCAGCCGCGGUAAUACAGAGGUGGCAAGCGUUGUUCGGAAUUACUGGGCGUAAAGGGCGCGUAGGCGGCCUUCUAAGUCGGACGUGAAAUCCCCCAGGCUUACUUGGGAACUGCGUCUGAUACUGGAAGGCUUGAUUGCGGGAGAGGGAUGUGGAAUUCCAGGUGUAGCGGUGGAAUGCGUAGAA